GGAUGGUGCUGCUCAAGGGAGAUGGGACCAGAGGACUCACUGUGAUUCCCUCCAAUCUUACCCACUCUGUGCUUCUCUAACUUUGAGGGAGAGACAAAAAACCAAAACUCUUCGCUCUAUUUACUCUGAAAGUCUGAAAACCUCCCCAGUGUUAGCACACAGACAUGGGAGACAAGCUGAAAUCUCUGCUGGGUCUGUGUCCAUGCUGGAGUUCAAGUCCCAGCAGCCACCGCGUCCCUGCAUUUCCUGGAAGUUGAUUGUGUUUUACCUCAGGGGAAGAACUUGCCUGUCAUGCAUCCAUCACCUGCUGCUCCACUUCUGAACCACCAAGUCCUCUCUCCACAGUUUGCUUUUACAUCUCCUGAGGAAGAAGAGAAAGAAAACAUGAGCUCCAUGUGACAGGUGCCAGGUUACUCAGAAGAUAAGAGGAGAUGUCAAAAGAAGUCAAAAUGUCUAAAGUCUCUAUUAAUUUGUUUCUUGUACAUUGAAGGAAUUACAACUGAGUGGCAUUCAAAAGAAGAAACCUGAUGAACAAUAUCAAUUUUGUUGUCUAAGUAGCUUGAGGAUAAACAAUGAUAAUCUCCAGAGUCAGCAGAAUGUUUUCCCUUAUUUAUGAAGGAAACCAAUAUACACUUGUAUAAAGCCUAUUUACAGCUCCUAAAGCUCCUGUGUCAGUGCUCAGAGCUGUUGAGUUUCACCCUUUUUAACCACACCACACCCUCUCACUUUUUGGGGGAACAAACCAGAAGUAGAAUUUAAACUGCAGCUGGAAAGCUCAGAUCCUUUUCAUAGCAUUUGCUGUUUUCCAGGUGUGUUUCCAGGUGAGCUGUGUAAGGGGAUUCAGUUUGCCAUCUUCUCUUGGUUGAAUUAUUUCUAACCCCAGUUUGACAAAUUUGAGGAAAGAAGUAAACUUUUACUUGGUGCACUUCAAAAAUUAGACACGUAAGUAUUUUCACAUUACUUCAUUGCUUAAGCACUAUAUAUCUGCACGAAUUAUAAUUGCAGAAGCUGAAAGAAAUUCUCUGCUGCCAUGAACAGUGGAAUUGGCUUCUGGACUAAUAUUCCUUCUGCUGCUGUCCAAGGAGGGGUGGUAAAACAAAAAAUGAGAUCCACACCUAUGUUUACCUUCUAGUGGGAUGGGCAAACUUCUCCAUAUACCAGAACGAAACUGGGAGGUAGAAUUGAACCCUUUUUUUUAGAUUCUCUUCAGGGCUAUUCCCUAUUGAGCAGGAGAUCACAGUAAAUAUUUGGUAUAUUACACCAGAUAUUCCCCUCCUCUUUUACUGCACUGGGAAACUCAGUGACCUUGAGAUGUUCGGGUAAAGGCUCCCAACAGUGACACUUGGCACUGGGAUUUGCUGAUGUGAAACCAGCUUUACUACACACACUCAGAUUUAAGAGUGUGAGUCUUAGGAAAUUAGCUGGAGCUGUGCUCUGCAGUUUCACGCUGGCUGAUUUAUUUAUUCUUUAAAAACCUUAACACAUCAUUCAGACACAUCACAGUCAGCAUGGCAAUGUCUUACUCAACAUUCAGUCAGUUCUGCUGACCAAGUUUUGCUGGCCCAGUGCUCCAAGAGCCAAGAUCCUGCCUGCACCAACCCAAGGGCCAAUGCCUGACCCAUUUCAAACCUUCAAUCAAUGAAAGAAUCAAGAAAAAGUCUACAAAGUCAGGACACAAAAGAUAUUCAGGGAGGAACUGUGAGGAGUGGGCAGAUAAAGAAUGGAGUGUCAGGACCUGUGUAAGCCAGAGUGAAGACAUUAGGAAGAGAAUAAGCAAAUGGGAAGAUGUAUAAUUCAAAUGAGAAAACAGAGCAGUGAAACAAGGGAAUGCUUUAUUGCAUUGCUGAGUUACAGUGAUAAACCAAAGUGAUAUACACCUAGCUAGCACAGAAGAAACAGAAGAAUUCAAAGGGAGAAAAACUUGCAGAGUCCAUAAAUUAUUUUGCAAGGUAUAACAAUAUCUGAUAGAAAAUUUAGUGUGAAGAUGUUACAAUAAAUAAUACAAUAAAUAUUAGCAUUACAAUAUGGAACAGAACAAUCUGGAAUGGGAACAUCUACUGAAGUUCAUGGAGGGCAGGGAAACUUCUAAAGCAGGGCUGGAGCUACUCACCACUUUGGGGAGAGAUGAAGAGCAUAAAAUAUCCAUCUUCAGUAUUGUAAGUGACAUGAGCUCCUAAAAUAUGCAUCAAAUGAAACACCAGAGAGACAAAAAGGGCCCCUCUUCAGCACAAAACUCCAACCUUGCUGCCAAGGCAGGAUGCCAGGGAAACAGCCACGUCUGGGUAGCUGGAGCAGAGCUGGCCUCACCCUGUGCCUGCAGGGAUGCUUCCCCAUCCAUCAGCAACAUUUAUUUUUCAUCUAACCUCAAUGAGCAGGAGGCAAUACCCAAAACAGGCAGCAUAAUUUGUUCCACUAAGACACAGAAGAUUUGC